rnacentral:rRNA from 1 species
GACGUAGGGGGCCAGCGUUGUUCGGAAUUACUGGGUGUAAAGGGUUCGUAGGCGGUGUGGCAAGUCGGGAGUGAAAUCUCUGGGCUCAACCCAGAGUCUGCUUCCGAAACUGCUGUGCUUGAGUGUGGGAGAGGCGCGUGGAAUUGCAGGUGUAGCGGUGAAAUGCGUAGAUAUCUGCAGGAACACCCGUGGCGAAAGCGGCGCGCUGGACCACUACUGACGCUGAGGAACAGAAAGCGUAGGGGAGCAAACAGG